rnacentral:rRNA from 1 species
CUCUUUGCAGGAGGCAGUUAUGAGACGUGAAGAUGAGUAUCUUGUAAAGAGGGAUAGGAGAAUUGGAGGGCAAGUUUGGUGCCAGCAGCCGCGGUAAUACCGACUCCAAGAGUGUGUAUGAGAGAUGCUGCAGUUAAAAAGUCCGUAGUCAUAGAAGGGCAAAGAGAGAUGCGAGGUCUCACAGUGCGAUGAUGGAGGAGCCGAUGGGGAACAUAGUAUACCAGGGCGAGAGAUGAAAUGCCAAGACCCCUGGUGGACUGAGCGAGGCGAAGGCGAUGUUCUUGUAGGCAUUCGGUGAUCAAGGACGAAGGCUGGAGUAUCGAAAGUGAUUAGAUACCGCAGUAGUUCCAGCAGUAAAAGAUGCCGACAUGCUCAUUGGACACAGUGGGCAGGGAGAAAUCUUAGAGUUCGGGCUCUGGGGAUAGUAUGCUCGCAAGGGUGAAAAUUAAAGAAAUUGACGGAGCUACACCACAAGGAGUGGAUUGUGCGGCUUAAUUUGACUCAACGCGAGGAAACUUACCAGGGCCAAGUAUUGUGUAGAAACGAGCAAUACAGGAGUGGUGCAUGGUCGUUGGAAAUUGAUGGGAUGACUUUGACCUUAAAUGGUUGAAUGAGUGAGAUCUUUUGGACAUGUUCCGCACGGAACAGGAAGGAAAAGGCUAUAACAGAUCCGAGAUGCCCUCAGAUGCCCUGGGCUGCACGCGCAAUACAAUAGCAGGUAGAGAGAGAGACAGGAAGGUGCUCAGAUGGACUAUGUGCUGUAAGGCACAUACGAAAGAGGAAUCCUAGUAAGUGUGUAUCAACAAUGGAUA